GAUGAACGCUGGCGGCGUGCUUAACACAUGCAAGUCGAACGGAAAGGCUCCUGCUUGCAGGGGUACUCGAGUGGCGAACGGGUGAGUAACACGUGGGUGAUCUGCCCUGCACUUCGGGAUAAGCCUGGGAAACUGGGUCUAAUACCGGAUAGGACGAUGGUUUGGAUGCCAUUGUGGAAAGUUUUUUCGGUGUGGGAUGAGCUCGCGGCCUAUCAGCUUGUUGGUGGGGUAAUGGCCUACCAAGGCGUCGACGGGUAGCCGGCCUGAGAGGGUGUACGGCCACAUUGGGGCUGAGAUACGGCCCAGACUCCUACGGGAGGCAGCAGUGGGGAAUAUUGCACAAUGGGCGCAAGCCUGAUGCAGCGACGCCGCGUGGGGGAUGACGGCCUUCGGGUUGUAAACUCCUUUCGCUAGGGACGAAGCGCAAGUGACGGUACCUGGAGAAGAAGAACCGGCUAACUACGUG
rnacentral:rRNA from 1 species